UACGAAGGGGGCUAGCGUUGUUCGGAAUCACUGGGCGUAAAGCGCACGUAGGCGGUUGCUUAUGUCGGAUGUGAAAGCCCUCGGCUUAACUGAGGAAGUGCAUCCGAAACUGGGCAGCUAGAGUACGAAAGAGGGUCGCGGAAUUCCCGGUGUAGAGGUGAAAUUCGUAGAUAUCGGGAGGAACACCGGUGGCGAAGGCGGCGACCUGGGUCGAGACUGACGCUGAGGCGCGAAAGCGUGGGGAGCAAACAGG
rnacentral:rRNA from 1 species